rnacentral:sRNA from 1 species
AUGUACCACGCGGACACUCCGGUUAUGAGCGCGCCGUCCGCGCCCACUUGACAGCUGCUCGCUACGUUUUGUUCGCC